CUAUACUGGCAGUCGAGCGGACCGACGGGAGCUUGCUCCCUUAGGUCAGCGGCGGACGGGUGAGUAACACGUGGGUAACCUGCCUGUAAGACUGGGAUAACUCCGGGAAACCGGGGCUAAUACCGGAUGCUUGAUUGAACCGCAUGGUUCAAUCAUAAAAGGGGGCUUUUAGCUACCACUUUCAGAUGGACCCGCGGCGCAUUAGCUAGUUGGUGAGGUAACGGCUCACCAAGGCGACGAUGCGUAGCCGACCUGAGAGGGUGAUCGGCCNNACUGGGACUGAGACACGGCCCAGACUCCUACGGGAGGCAGCAGUAGGGAAUCUUCCGCAAUGGACGAAAGUCUGACGGAGCAACGCCGCGUGAGUGAUGAAGGUUUUCGGAUCGUAAAACUCUGUUGUUAGGGAAGAACAAGUACCGUUCGAAUAGGGCGGUACCUUGACGGUACCUAACCAGAAAGCCACGGCUAACUACGUGCCAGCAGCCGCGGUAAUACGUAGGUGGCAAGCGUUGUCCGGAAUUAUUGGGCGUAAAGCGCGCGCAGGCGGUUUCUUAAGUCUGAUGUGAAAGCCCCCGGCUCAACCGGGGAGGGUCAUUGGAAACUGGGGAACUUGAGUGCAGAAGAGGAGAGUGGAAUUCCACGUGUAGCGGUGAAAUGCGUAGAGAUGUGGAGGAACACCAGUGGCGAAGGCGACUCUCUGGUCUGUAACUGACGCUGAGGCGCGAAAGCGUGGGGAGCGAACAGGAUUAGAUACCCUGGUAGUCCACGCCGUAAACGAUGAGUGCUAAGUGUUAGAGGGNUUCCGCCCUUUAGUGCUGCAGCNAACGCAUUAAGCACUCCGCCUGGGGAGUNCGGUCNNCAGACUGAANNUCAAAGGAUUGACGGGGGCCGCACAACCGUGGAGCUGUGGUUUAUUCGAAGCACGCGAAGAACUUACCAGGCUUGANUCUCUGACACCCUANAAUAGGGUUCCCUUCGGGGCAAAUGACAGUGGNNAUGGUGUCGCCACUCGUGCGUGAAUGUGGGUAAGUCCGCACGAGCCAACCUUGACUUAUUGCCGCAUCAGUUGGCCUCUAAGUNCUGCCGUGACACCGGAGGAGGUGGNAUGACGCAAUCUCAUGCCCUUAGACUGGGUACCCCUGCUAAAUGGCAAACAANGNGGGAGCGCGAGCUAGCAUCCCAA
rnacentral:rRNA from 1 species